AUGGGUGCCCAGAAGACCUCCAAGUGGAAUAAUGACAUCGAUCGCCUCGAGUUGGCCUUCGAUGGAGCACUGAUCGACAUCGCUACUGACAUUGGCGCACAAUGGCAAUCCACCGUCGUGCCUGCCCUGACCAUCACGAGGACCUCCAUGGCCAACGGUGUGAGGGUCGAGCUUAAGGGUGUGUUCGACAUCAUGACUAAAGUAGUGCCCAUCACGGAGGAGGACUCCCGCAUCUACAACUACGAUGUGACAGAGGAUGACAGCCUUGCGCAUUUGGACAUUGGUUUCAAGUUCUAUGGCCUCACCGACAAUGUUCAUGGCAUUCUAGGCCAGACCUACCGCUCCGACUACAUCAACAAGCUCAACGUUAGUUCAAGCAUGCCGGUGAUGGGUGGUGUAGCAAGCUAUGUCACUUCCGACAUUUUUGCCACCGACUGUAAGGUCGCUAGGUUCGGCCAUAAUGGCGACAUCUCCAUGAUCACGGCCAGGGCCAACUAA
rnacentral:rRNA from 1 species